UUUAAAUGGCCGCAGUAUACUAACUGUGCAAAGGUAGCAUAAUCAUUAGUCUUUUAAUUGAAGGCUGGUAUGAAUGGUUGGACGAGAUAUUAACUGUUUCAUAAAUAUUUAUAUUAGAAUUUUAUUUUUUAGUCAAAAAGCUAAAAUAAAUUUAAAAGACGAGAAGACCCUAUAAAUCUUUAUAUUUAUAUUAUUAAUUUUUUUUAGAAUAAUUUUAAUUUAAUAAUUUAUAAUAUUUUAUUGGGGUGAUAUUAAAAUUUAAUAAACUUUUAAUUAAUUAUAAUCAUUAAUUAAUGAAUAAUUGAUCCGUUAUUAACGAUUAAAAAAUUAAGUUACUUUAGGGAUAACAGCGUAAUUUUUUUGGAGAGUUCAUAUCGAUAAAAAAGAUUGCGACCUCGAUGUUGGAUUAAGAUAUAAUUUUAGGUGUAGUCGCUUAAAUUUUAAGUCU
rnacentral:rRNA from 1 species